ensembl:snoRNA small nucleolar RNA SNORD2
GUGUGAGAUGGUAUACUGUCUUUCGGGACUGACUUGUUACGGAUAUGAACUUUUCAACUGAUCAUAC